rnacentral:rRNA from 1 species
UACGAAGGGAGCUAGCGUUGUUCGGAAUCACUGGGCGUAAAGCGCACGUAGGCGGAUGUGUCAGUCAGGGGUGAAAUCCCGGAGCUCAACUUCGGAACUGCCUUUGAUACAGCACGUCUUGAGUCCGAUAGAGGUGGGUGGAAUUCCUAGUGUAGAGGUGAAAUUCGUAGAUAUUCGCAAGAACACCAGUGGCGAAGGCGGCUCACUGGCCCGGUACUGACACUGAGGUGC